rnacentral:rRNA from 1 species
UACGUAGGGUGCGAGCGUUAAUCGGAAUUACUGGGCGUAAAGCGUGCGCAGGCGGUUCGUUGUGUCGGCGGUGAAAGCCCCGGGCUUAACCUGGGAAUGGCCGUUGAAACUGGCGAACUGGAGUGUGGCAGAGGGGGGUGGAAUUCCGCGUGUAGCAGUGAAAUGCGUAGAGAUGCGGAGGAACACCGAUGGCGAAGGCAGCCCCCUGGGCUAACACUGACGCUCAGGCACGAAAGCGUGGGGAGCAAGCAGG